UACGGAGGUGGCGAGCGUUGUCCGGAAUCACUGGGCGUAAAGGGCGCGUAGGCGGCGCGGAUAGUCGGCGGUGAAAGCCCGGAGCUCAACUCCGGGUCGGCCGUCGAUACUUCCGGGCUUGAGCACUGUAGAGGCAGAUGGAAUUCCGGGUGUAGCGGUGGAAUGCGUAGAGAUCCGGAAGAACACCGGUGGCGAAGGCGGUCUGCUGGGCGAGU
rnacentral:rRNA from 1 species